AUACUUACCUGGACGGGGUCAAUGGGUGAUCAAAAAGGCCUAUGGCCUAGGUUAGUGACCUCCAUUGCACUGAGGAGGGGUGCUAGCCUAAGGUCUCCCCAAGUUGGGAGAGCCUACGUCGUAAUUUGUGGCAGUGGGGGCCUGCGUUCGCGCGGCCCCUCU
rfam:Ricinus communis cultivar Hale ctg_1100012352735, whole genome shotgun sequence.